GACGUAGGAGGCGAGCGUUUGUCCGGAUUCAUUGGGCGUAAAGAGCGCGCAGGCGGCUUGGUAAGUCGGAUGUGAAAACCCGGAGGCUCAACCUCGGGCGUGCAUCCGAUACUGCUCGGCUAGAGGUAGGUAGGGGAGAUCGGAAAUUCCUGGUGUAGCGGUGAAAUGACGCAGAGAUCGGAAAGAACACCAACGGCGAAAGCACUCUGCUGGGCCGACACUGACACUGGAGAGACGAAAGCUAGGGGAGCGAAUGGG
rnacentral:rRNA from 1 species